rnacentral:rRNA from 1 species
AUUGAACGCUGGCGGCAGGCCUAACACAUGCAAGUCGAACGAGUGGCGGACAGGUGAGUAAUGUCUGGGAAACUGCCCGAUGGAGGGGGAUAACUACUGGAAACGGUAGCUAAUAACGCAUACCAUCGGAUGUGCCCAGAUGGGAUUAGCUAGUAGGGUGGGUAACGGCGCACCUAGGCGACGAUCCCUAACUGGUCUGAGAGGAUGACCAGCCACACUGGAACUGAGGCACGGUCCAGGCUCCUACGGGGGCCAGCAGUGGGGAGUAUUGCACAAGUGUCGCAAGCCUGAUGCAGCCAUGCCACGUGUAUGGAGAAGGCCUUCGGGUUGUGAAGUACUUUCAGCGAGGAGGCGUUGCUCGCAGAAGAAGCACCGGCUAACUCCGUGCCAGCAGCCGCGGUAAUUC